rnacentral:rRNA from 1 species
CCUACGGGUGGCAGCAGUGGGGAAUAUUGCACAAUGGGGGAAACCCUGAUGCAGCGACGCCGCGUGAAGGAAGAAGGAUUUCGGUAUGUAAACUUCUAUCAGCCGGGAAGAAAAUGACGGUACCCGACUAAGAAGCCUCGGCUAACUACGUGCCAGGCGCCGCCGUAAUACGUAGGGGGCAAGCGGUAUCCGGAAUUUAUGGGUGGAAAGGGAGCGGAAGCGGUUUAGCAAGGCAGAAGUGAAAGCCUGGGGCUCAACUCCGGGACUGCUUUUGAAACUGCUGAACUUGAUUGCAGGAGAGGUAAGUGGAAUUCCUAGUGUAGCGGUGAAAUGCGUAGAUAUUAGGAGGAACACCAGUGGCGAAGGCGGCUUACUGGGCUGUAAAUGACGCUGAGGCUCGAAAGCGUGGGGAGCAAACAGGAUUAGAUACCCGAGUAGUC